rnacentral:rRNA from 1 species
GAAGUCUAACAUGUGCGCGAGUCAUUGGGUUAAAAAACCUAAAGGCGGAAUGAAAGUGAAGGGAGCUUUGCUUUCCGAGGGAGGAUGGGCAUGCUGCUCACGAAGCGGUGCCCCGCACUCCCGGGGCGUCUACCGCUCAUAGCGAGCGGAGGCGCACCCAGAGCGUACACGUUAGGACCCGAAAGAUGGUGAACUAUGCCUGGUCAGGACGAAGCCAGGGGAAACCCUGGUGGAGGUCCGUAGCGAUUCUGACGUGCAAAUCGAUCGUCAGAGCUGGGUAUAGGGGCGAAAGACUAAUCGAACCAUCUAGUAGCUGGUUCCCUCCGAAGUUUCCCUCAGGAUAGCUGGUGCCCGUGUGAGACGAGUCUCAUCCGGUAAAGCGAAUGAUUAGAGGCCUUGGGGCCGAAACGACCUCAACCUAUUCUCAAACUUUAAAUAGAUGAGAACUCCGGCUUGCUUGAACAGUGAAGCCGGAGAAUCGGAUCAGGGUGCCCAGUGGGCCAAUUUUG